rnacentral:rRNA from 1 species
UACGUAGGGUCCGAGCGUUGUCCGGAAUUAUUGGGCGUAAAGAGCUCGUAGGCGGUUUGUCGCGUCUGCUGUGAAAUCCCGAGGCUCAACCCUGGACCUGCAUUCGAUACGGGCAGACUAGAGUUCGGUAGGGGAGACUGGAAUUCCUGGUGUAGCGGUGAAAUGCGCAGAUAUCAGGAGGAACACCGGUGGCGAAGGCGGGUCUCUGGGCCGAAACUGACGCUGAGGAGCGAAAGCGUGGGGAGCAAACAGG